rnacentral:misc_RNA from 1 species
GAUGAAGAACGUAGUGAAAUGCGAUAAGUAGUGUGAAUUGCAGAAUUCAGUGAAUCAUCGAAUCUUUGAACGCACAUUGCGCCCCUCGGUACUCCGUGGGGCAUGCCUGUUCGAGCGUCAUCUACACCCUCAAGCUCUGCUUGGUGUUGGGCGUCUGUCCCGCCUCCGCGCGUGGACUCGCCCCAAAUUCAUUGGCAGCGGUCCUUGCCUCCUCUCGCGCAGCACAUUGCGCUUCUUGAGGGGCUCCGGUUCGCGUCCAACAAGCACAUUUACCGUCUUUGACCUCGGAUCAGGUAGGGAUACCCGCUGAACUUAAGCAUAUCAAUAAGCGGAGGA